rnacentral:rRNA from 1 species
UAGCGAAGGGGGCUAGCGUUGCUCGGAAUUACUGGGCGUAAAGCGCACGUAGGCGGCUCGUUAAGUCGGAGGUGAAAUCCUGGAGCUCAACUCCAGAACUGCCUUCGAUACUGAUGAGCUCGAGUUCGGGAGAGGUGAGUGGAACUGCGAGUGUAGAGGUGAAAUUCGUAGAUAUUCGCAAGAACACCAGUGGCGAAGGCGGCUCACUGGCCCGAUACUGACGCUGAGGUGCGAAAGCGUGGGGAGCAAACAGGG